AGAGUUUGAUCCUGGCUCAGGAUGAACGCUGGCGGCGUGCCUAACACAUGCAAGUCGAACGGAGUUACUUUGGUGAAGUUUUCGGAUGGAUCUGAUUUAACUUAGUGGCGGACGGGUGAGUAAUGCGUGAGCAACCUGCCCUUCAGAGGGGGACAACAGUUGGAAACGACUGCUAAUACCGCAUAAUGUAUUCGGAAGGCAUCUUCUGGAUACCAAAGGAGAAAUCCGCUGAUGGAUGGGCUCACGUCUGAUUAGCUAGUUGGUGAGGUAACGGCUCACCAAGGCUGCGAUCAGUAGCCGGACUGAGAGGUUGAACGGCCACAUUGGGACUGAGAUACGGCCCAGACUCCUACGGGAGGCAGCAGUGGGGAAUAUUGGGCAAUGGGCGAAAGCCUGACCCAGCAACGCCGCGUGAAGGAAGAAGGCCUUCGGGUUGUAAACUUCUUUUAAGAGGGACGAAGAAGUGACGGUACCUCUUGAAUAAGCCACGGCUAACUACGUGCCAGCAGCCGCGGUAAUACGUAGGUGGCGAGCGUUAUCCGGAUUUACUGGGUGUAAAGGGCGCGUAGGCGGGAAUGCAAGUCAGAUGUGAAAUCCAAGGGCUCAACCCUUGAACUGCAUUUGAAACUGUAUUUCUUGAGUGUCGGAGAGGUUGACGGAAUUCCUAGUGUAGCGGUGAAAUGCGUAGAUAUUAGGAGGAACACCAGUGGCGAAGGCGGUCAACUGGACGAUAACUGACGCUGAGGCGCGAAAGCGUGGGGAGCAAACAGGAUUAGAUACCCUGGUAGUCCACGCCGUAAACGAUGAUUACUAGGUGUUGGGGGAUUGACCCCUUCCGUGCCGCAGUUAACACAAUAAGUAAUCCACCUGGGGAGUACGACCGCAAGGUUGAAACUCAAAGGAAUUGACGGGGGCCCGCACAAGCAGUGGAGUAUGUG
rnacentral:rRNA from 1 species